rnacentral:misc_RNA from 1 species
UACGUGAGCCUCAAGCGUUACCCGGAUUUACUGGGCGUAAAGGGUGUGUAGGCGGUCUGCUUAGUCGUUUGUUAAAUCCCGGGGCUCAACCUCGGACUCGCAAGCGAAACGGGUAGACUAGAGGGCGCGAGAGGUCUGCGGAACUCAUGGUGUAGGGGUGAAAUCCGUUGAUAUCAUGGGGAACACCGAAAGCGAAGGCAGCAGACUGGCGCGUUCCUGACGCUCAGACACGAAAGCCAGGGUAGCGAACGGG